UUUUAAUGCAAAAUUAAACUAGACUUUUGUAAGCAGGUAUUGAUUAUUUUAAUUUCUCUUUGUAUGAAGAAAGUAAAAGGAGCAUUCUGGUGUACCUGGAACUCUGAUCACAUUGUGGAGGCUAAUCAGAAUACAGAGCCUUACGUACUGUAUCAUAUCAAGGUACCUGGAGAUCCAUAAUAUGUUGAUGAAGAGAUACAUUCUUUUUGACAUAGCCACUUUUCUCACUUGACUGAGUGAUUUAUGCGCAGCAGUAGAAGGCAUUGUCAAUAAGCCAUGGAUGAGAUUUGAAUAAGCAAGCUAUCUGGCUCCAGAAGGGUCCUCUUCCACUUCAGUAAUUCUGCCUUUUGGAUGGGCUUGACCCAAACAGUAGUCAGCAACAAGAAGCAGGCACCGAAGUUACGCCUCACUGACAUUAAAGGAAUUUCAUUUGCUUGUAUCAUUUGGCAACUGGACAAGAGAGUUUGUAAGAGUAAGCCUCUGCUUAUUGAAUGAUAGUUGAGUUGUGAUACAGGAUAGGGUAGGUGAGAUAUGUUUGCCAGUCAGCAAAUGAUUGAAUGAAGUGUAUUUGUCUUCAGUAAGCAGAUAGAAAUGAUGCAUUUUUUAAAAAUUCACAGAAUUAUACAUGAUGUUGUGGACAAAAGACAAUCUCAUUUAUAUUUAUUUAUUUAUUUAUUUAUCUAUUAAUUUGUUGUUGAAGGAAUGGCUGUUAGCAGUGACUAACAGUUAUACAAAAG
rnacentral:lncRNA from 1 species